AGUGGGCCAAGGGUUCUACGAGUCGGAACACGUGUUAUCUCUUGCGAAGAGUUUAAGGGUCCUGAGGGUGCGGAGUUGUGUUAUCAACCGAACACAGAAGAAUCCCAAAUGAUGAAGCUGAGUCUCAUCAAAGUCGUUAAUGGCUGUCGUCUAGGAAAAAUACAAAACCUGGGCAAAGCAGGGGACUGCACGGUGGACAUUCCGGGCUGUCUUCUCUACACCAGGACUGGCUCUGCCCCACACCUGACACAUCAGACGCUGCGUAACAUCCACGGGGUCCCAGGCAUAGCCCAGCUCACACUCUCAUCCCUGUGAGUGCUGAACCUAAGCUUCCAGAGCAGAACAUCAUGAAGUCUUGGCAGAAUAUAAGAAAGGAGUUGGAAGCUUUAUAGGCAUGCCGGAAUCACUCUUCUAUUGUUCCCUGCACGAUCCAGUCACCCCCGGCCCAGCUGGUUAUGUAACAAGUAAGUCUGUGUCCGUGUGGGGUUUUGGAGGUCGAGUGGAAAUGACUGUUUCCAAGUUCAUGGCAAUUCAGGAGGCCCUGCAGCCAGAUUGGUUCCAGUGCCUCUCGGAUGGGGAAGCAUCUUGUGCAGAAACAACUUCCAUAAAACGGGCCAGGAAGUCUGUGGACCGCUCGCUUCUGUUCCUGGACAGCUGUUUGCGACUACAGGAGGAGUCUGAGGUCCUCCAGAAAAGUGUGAUCAUUGGAGUGAUUGAGGGUGGAGAUGUGAUGGAAGAGAGGUUGAGGUCAGCACGAGAGACAGCCAAGCGACCCGUCGGGGGCUUCCUGCUGGACGGCUUUCAAGGGGAUCCAGCAGUCACAGAAACCAGACUGCACUUGCUGUCAUCAGUCACUGCAGAGCUGCCAGAGGACAAACCAAGGCCAGUGCUGGAUUGGGAUGCAGGCCAGCCUUGUGGGUGGCGGGCAGAGGUGCUGGUGACCGUGUGAUGCAGGGUCCCCUCAGGGUCCUUUCCAUGUCUUGAUUAUGUCCUUCCUGCUUAUUCUUGGCCAGCUGGGAAAUCUCCAUCAAGGCUGCUACCCUGGUUUCAGAAUGUAGAGGGGAGAAUUGGCAUGGAUUCCUUUAUUUGAUCCUCAUAACUGAGGGCAGAUGUUACCCUCUGUUCUCUCAUUCUUGAGCCAAAUACAGAUGCUGCUUUUUACUCAUGAUAACCUGGUGCCUGGAGACAAGAGUAAAGUCAUGUUGCAUUCUAGUGCAACCAAGGCAUGUGGGUAUGCGGGGUGAGGAUAUGCUCUGUAAGUAAGAACCUUCAGCAAGUCUGCUUUUGUGGCAGUUAGUGAGUGAUGUUGCUUUGUUUUGUUUGCUUGUUUAAUUGGUGUGACUAGUGGGGUUGGUUUUUGUUGUUGUUACAUAUAUCUUAGAAUACUGCAAUGGUAACAAGAGAUGAUUCCUAAAUUCUGGAUUUCAGAGCAACUGAUGUCACACUAGUACCUAAGUUUUUUUUCUUAAUGUAUAUAUACUUCUGUGGAGUCUUGUGUAUUCCAAGCUGGCCUCAAACUUGCUAUGGAUCCUCCAGCCUCUGCCUCCAAAGAGCUGGGAUUACAGGUGUGCACCAUUGCUCGUGAUCUGCACAGUCCUGGGAAUGGAGCGCACAGCUUUGUGUGUGCUAGGCAAGCCAGGCACAGGAAACGCUACUGUGUGAUCUCACUCUUGUGGAACCCGAAAUCAAUCUCCUGGAAGGCUGGGAAGUGUGGGAGCAAGGAGGCUCAUCUGCGGUGUCAGCCGGCCAGACGAAGUGCUAGAGUGCAUCGAAAGGGGAGUGGACUUGUUUGAGAGUUUUUUCCCAUAUCAAGUGACCGAGCGGGGCUGUGCCCUGACUUUCACCUUUGAUUGCCAGCUGAAUCCUGAGGAGACACUAUUGCAACAAAAUGGAAUCCAAGAAAAAAUAAAAGGCUUGGAUCAAGCAAAGAAAAUUGAAGCAACUGGUUGCAACCAAGAGAUGACGUCAUUUGAAAUUAAUCUGAAGGAGAAAAAGUACCAGGAAGACUUUGACCCGCUUGUAAGAGGGUGCUCCUGUUACUGCUGUAAGAACCACACUCGUGCGUAUAUCCACCAUCUUCUGAUGACCAACGAGCUGCUGGCUGGUGUCCUCCUUAUGAUGCACAACUUUGAGCACUACUUUGGAUUUUUCUGCUCCAUCCGAGAAGCACUAAAGAAUGACACACUGGCACAGCUGAAAGAACUCAUUUGCAGACAGAUGUUUUGAGAACUGGAAAAUAUAAGCCUGUCUCAUCUUCAGAAACAGUGAAAUGGCAGAGAUCUGAGCUCUCAGCGGUUACGGUGGGACCAAAGAGCAUCUGCCCCACCCUGCCCACAGGAGUGUGGAGGAAGGCCUUCUGCAGAUUUCUUGGCCCAUAUCGAUCAGAACUGUGACUUUAUUUUUCUAGGUUUAUUCUUCUAGUGAGAUUCCUUUAGUUGAAGACAAAAGUAUUAGAUAUGAGAGAGCCUUGAAAGGAUUUGAGGUUUUAGGAACCAGUGAGAUGGGUGAGGCCCGAGUGGAGAUGGCUGUCAUAGCUGGAAGCACAGCUAUUCCCUGGAGAAGUCAUCUAGCUGAUUCCACAGGCUUUUAUUUGUUUCUCCUCAUGCUCUCAGGGGCUUUGGGCCAUACCUUUGUCUUCAGGGCUACCACAACAACUACCACUUAGGGUUCUCCUGCCUUAAACAUGUUCAUAUGUCCCAGGAAUAUGGGGCUCAGGCCAUGCUUUUGUGAUCCGUUGACGUCAUUUGGCUACAAGUCUUUUUGUGCCUGGGUCUUCUGACAACCACUGUACUUGCCCAUGAGGAACCAAAUAUUGCCUAGCUGCUCUGUCUGGUUGUGCAGAUCCAGCUAACAGCUUCAUCCUCUAAACUGUCCUGCUGUGUCUGUAAUGACUGGCUCUGUCACUUGGAGGAGAUUCCUUUGCUGUGUGUUGAUGUGGCCCCAAUCCUGGCCUGACAGCAGAUCGGUUUCCAUUCCACACAGCUGUAAGCUCAGGCAAAUGCUGACUUUUCUGUGUCCGUCCCCUCGUGAGUAAACAGGGACAGGCAUCGCAGGUGGAGGCAGAAUGUUCAGAAGCUGCGUCAUACUCUCCAUCCUUAUUUACUAAGCUCUGUCGGCCUCACCCCUUCCCCACGUUCUUUCUUUUUUUGUUUUUGUUUGUCUGUCUGUUUUGUUUGUAUCCAGCCAUAAGAUUGUCCUGUGGAUUUUGAAGUGGUUGGUGAAUUGGCAUUCUUCUGACCCUGAGGCUGGUUGUCCCUCCGGGGUUCUCUGUAAUUCUGUAUUUUUGUGGUGGCAUGACAGGGCUUUUUUUUUGUAUGUAUCUUUUCUAUAUUUAUCAAUUUUUUUAAGGAGUACACAAAACAUAUAUGUAUAUACAUGUAGUUUUUAUAAAAAUAAUACAAUUUAAAAGAUUCAUUUUUGUAGGUGUAAGAAAUGCAUUUCUUAUAUUUGUUUGGUUUCCAAUUUAUAGUGGCCAUUACUGAACAUUGUAUGUAGGAAUUAUGUAAUUACUGUACUUUUAUGUGCUGGAAAUCCAACGUUGUUUUUCCUUUUUGUGGUAUGACUUGUUGAUGAAUGCAAGGGAUUCAUAGAAUGCAGACGCAGAGACAGAGUUUCUGUUCUCAGUGAUCUGUGUUGAAUGGAUUUUGUACUUGUUUAUAUGUUUUAUCCUUGGCCAAGACCAAACCCAUUAUUGAAGGAUUAUUAGUAAAUAUCUAAGAAUCCAUAUAAA